GUCCCGACGGUAAACGAUGGGCACUAGGUGUCGGAGGUAUCGACCCCUCCGGUGCCGCAGUUAACACAUUAAGUGCCCCGCCCGGGGAGUACGGCCGCAAGGCUGAAACUCAAAGGAAUUGACGGGGCCCGCACAAGCGGUGGAGUAUGUGGUUUAAUUCGACGCAACGCGAAGAACCUUACCUGGGCUUGACAUGCAGGGGACAAGGUUGGAGACAACUUCUCCUCUUCGGAGGUCCCUGCACAGGUGCUGCAUGGCUGUCGU
rnacentral:rRNA from 1 species